CAAUCAAACCGGGAGAUAGCUGGUUCUCCCCGAAAGCUAUUUAGGUAGCGCCUCGUGAAUUCAUCUCCGGGGGUAGAGCACUGUUUCGGCAAGGGGGUCAUCCCGACUUACCAACCCGAUGCAAACUGCGAAUACCGGAGAAUGUUAUCACGGGAGACACACGGCGGGUGCUAACGUCCGUCGUGAAGAGGGAAACAACCCAGACCGCCAGCUAAGGUCCCAAAGUCAUGGUUAAGUGGGAAACGAUGUGGGAAGGCCCAGACAGCCAGGAUGUUGGCUUAGAAGCAGCCAUCAUUUAAAGAAAGCGUAAUAGCUCACUGGUCGAGUCGGCCUGCGCGGAAGAUGUAACGGGGCUAAACCAUGCACCGAAGCUGCGGCAGCGACACUGUGUGUUGUUGGGUAGGGGAGCGU
rnacentral:rRNA from 1 species